rnacentral:rRNA from 1 species
UGCAAGUCGUGGGGCAAGCGUUAGUAGUAAUACCGACGCCUAGACCGGCAAACGGGUGAGGAACACGUACACAACCUCCCUCAUAGUGGAGAAUAACCCGGGGAAACCUGGACUAAUACUCCGUAACAUAUUGAAAAGGCAUCUUUUUAAUAUUAUAGCAGUAAUGCGCUAAGAGACGGGUGUGCGCAUGAUUAGGUAGUUGGCGGGGUAACGGCCCACCAAGCCUACGAUCAUUAACUGGUGUGAGAGCACGACCAGUCACACGGGCACUGAGACACGGGCCCGACUCCUACGGGAGGCAGCAGUAAGGAAUAUUGGUCAAUGGAGGAAACUCUGAACCAGCCAUGCCGCGUGGAGGAUGAAGGUCCUCUGGAUUGUAAACUUCUUUUAUAUGGGACGAAAAAAGGGUUUUCUAACUCGUCUGACGGUACCAUAUGAAUAAGCACCGGCUAACUCCGUGCCAGCAGCCGCGGUAAUACGGAGGGUGCAAGCGUUAUCCGGAUUCACUGGGUUUAAAGGGAGCGUAGGUGGGUUGGUAAGUCAGUGGUGAAAUCUUCAAGCUUAACUUGGAAACUGCCGUUGAUACUAUCAGUCUUGAAUAUUGUGGAGGUUAGCGGAAUAUGUCAUGUAGCGGUGAAAUGCUUAGAUAUGACAUAGAACACCAAUUGCGAAGGCAGCUGGCUACACAUAUAUUGACACUGAGGCUCGAAAGCGUGGGGAGCGAACAGGAUUAGAUACCCUGGUAGUCCACGCCGUAAACGAUGCUAACUCGUUUUUGGAGCGCAAGCUUCAGAGACCAAGCGAAAGUGAUAAGUUAGCCACCUGGGGAGUACGUUCGCAAGAAUGAAACUCAAAGGAAUGACGG